rnacentral:rRNA from 1 species
UACAGAGGGGGCAAGCGUUGUCCGGAUUUACUGGGCGUAAAGAGCGCGCAGGCGGUCGUUCAAGUCGAGUGUGAAAGCCCCCGGCUCAACUGGGGAGGGUCAUUCGAUACUGAUCGACUCGAAGGCAGGAGAGGGAAGUGGAAUUCCCGGUGUAGUGGUGAAAUGCGUAGAUAUCGGGAGGAACACCAGUGGCGAAGGCGACUUCCUGGCCUGUUCUUGACGCUGAGGCGCGAAAGCUAGGGGAGCAAACGGG